UACAGAGGGUGCAAGCGUUAAUCGGAAUUACUGGGCGUAAAGCGCGCGUAGGUGGUUCGUUAAGUUGGAUGUGAAAUCCCCGGGCUUAACCUGGGAACUGCAUUUGUGACUGCAUGGCUAGAGUGCGGCAGAGGGGGAUGGAAUUCCGCGUGUAGCAGUGAAAUGCGUAGAUAUGCGGAGGAACACCGAUGGCGAAGGCAAUCCCCUGGGCCUGCACUGACGCUGAGGCGCGAAAGCGUGGGGAGCAAACAGG
rnacentral:rRNA from 1 species